CUGCAGAAACGUGAACACACUCUACUCUAUUCCUUCUCCUUGAAAACCCUAGCGCCGCCGAAUCUCCUUCUUCCUCUCCCUCCGACCACCGCACCUCUAAUCGAAGAAAGGAGCUUAUUUUCGUGUUCAUCAUCACGUGACCUUCAACUUGAACCGUUGAUUUUUUUUGACAGUCACUUCCGGCCACCCUUUCACUGCCUCCCACCGCCGCGACUCUAGGCAAAGAACGGGGACUUUUUCUGCUCCAUUUAGCACAUCCUUUAGGAUAAACAUAUGGCUGCCCUCAACAUUUCAAAAUUUGAGGGUUUUAUUGUAUCUGAUCAACGGCUUCAAAGCCAGUUUACACAGGUUGAACUUCGUAGCCUCAAAUCAAAAUUUGUGUCUUUCAAAAAUCAGAAUGGGAAGGUUACAUUUGGAGAUUUAUCAUCUUUGAUGAUUAAACUAAAGGCGUUUGUAGAUAUGUAUAAUGAAGAUUAGGCGUUUGAAGACUUUUUGAAGCUAGAGAGGCAGCUUGGUAGCUUCAAUCAAGUUGCUGUUCUGAUGCAUAAUGACUGCCUUUAACUUUUCCAGGAGAUACUUGGAUUUGCAUUUGAGGCUAUAGAUAGUGCUGAUGGAUUUCAGAAUACUCAUCAAAAGCAACAAUAUGAGUCGGCUAAAUUCAGCAUUGAUCAGGUUGUUUUCAUUCUGCAAAAAGUGCAUAUCAUAUGGGAACCAUUUUUGCUUCCUUCAACUUACAGGAAAAGCAUGUGUACAGUAUUAGAAUCAGUUUUCUCUAGAAUUUCAAGAGAUAUACUUCUCCUAGAUGACAUAGCUGCAAAUUAGACUUUACAGGAUAAAUUUGAACAGAAAAAGUUGGAGAUUUCUUCUCAGAAGCCAACUAUUCCAGGAGAGGACGAAGCUGAUAGUCAACCAACUAAUGAAAUGCCACCUGAUUUGGAUAUAUGGGUAAUAGGGUAUUUGGUCUUGGAACCGCAUGGCCGAAGCGAAUAAUAAAAUUUCAUUUUUAAUGAAUCAUUUAGGAUUUGUUGGGUCUUCUUCUCAUCCACCACAACCCACUAAUGAAAGUGAGCACACAAAUGAAGAUGGCGUCGAUGAAACAGAUGAAGAAGAUUUGAUUUGUACUUUUUUUUCAUUUUGACUUAGUUUUUGGAUUGUAUUAUCUUUUUAACUUGGUUGACAAAUGAUUAGUAAUAACUUGAUUUUUAUUAAUGACUAUGUAAGUACUUCUUACCAAUUAUGUUCUAUGAGAUUUAAAUUGAAAAUUAUAAUUUUAUUUUAUAUUAUAGU